UUGGGUAGAAUUUACCUGGACACUGGUCAGUGAAAGACGUCCAUUAUUUACCCAGACUAUUAUAGCAGAAACCCAUAUUGACAGAUUGUGUAUUUACUAUAUUCAUCUACAUAGUUUUCCAGACAUGACUAGUAAGUUGCACUUUCUUCUUUAUUAACAUUUUGACACGAAUUAAUAGAUUUGGUUAACUUUCCUAUUUUCAAGUAAAUACUCUUCAGAUUGCAUGUUUAUAACAUCGGAAUGAAAGAUUUG
rnacentral:lncRNA from 1 species